rnacentral:rRNA from 1 species
AACGAACGCUGGCGGCAGGCCUAACACAUGCAAGUCGAACGCCCCGCAAGGGGAGUGGCAGACGGGUGAGUAACACGUGGGAACGUGCCCUAAGGUUCGGAAUAUUCCCGGGAAACUGGGAGCAAUACCGAAUGUGACCGCAAGGUGAAAGAUUUAUCGCCUUAGGAUCGGCCCGCGUCGGAUUAGCUAGUUGGCGAGGUAAAGGCUCACCAAGGCGACGAUCCGUAGCUGGUCUGAGAGGACGACCAGCCACACUGGGACUGAGACACGGCCCAGACUCCUACGGGAGGCAGCAGUGGGGAAUCUUGGACAAUGGGCGAAAGCCUGAUCCAGCCAUGCCGCGUGGAUGAUGAAGGCCCUAGGGUUGUAAAAUCCUUUCGUUGGGGACGAUAAUGACGGUACCCAAAGAAGAAGCUCCGGCUAACUUCGUGCCAGCAGCCGCGGUAAUACGAAGGGGGCUAGCGUUGUUCGGAUUUACUGGGCGUAAAGCGCGUGUAGGCGGGCUUGCAAGUUGGGGGUGAAAUCCCG